UACGUAGGGUGCAAGCGUUGUCCGGAAUUAUUGGGCGUAAAGAGCUCGUAGGCGGUUUGUCGCGUCUGCUGUGAAAAACUCGGGGCUUAACUCCGGGCCUGCAGUGGGUACGGGCAGACUAGAGUGCGGUAGGGGAGACUGGAAUUCCUGGUGUAGCGGUGAAAUGCGCAGAUAUCAGGAGGAACACCGGUGGCGAAGGCGGGUCUCUGGGCCGAAACUGACGCUGAGAGACGAAAGCUAGGGGAGCGAAUGGG
rnacentral:rRNA from 1 species